rnacentral:lncRNA from 1 species
UUAUGUUUUGUUGGUUUAACCUUUGCGUGUGUUUGAUUCUGGAAUUGUAUAUGUUAAACCUUUACUGAAUUUGUAUCCGCUAAACUACCAUUUAUUUUAGAAUUGUAUUCUUCCAAUCAACGGGUUUGUGUUCUUCCGAUCAUCAGCUUUGAAUCUAGUUUUAAUUUGUUAAUAAACGCUUGAUGAACAAAAGAAAAGAUUUGCUCAGUUCACGGCUGUGUAAGCCUUGAUGAUAAUUUAUAACAUUGAGGUAGUCGCUUUGACCCGCCAUCUUAAGUAUGCAAAAUUUAAGAUUUUUGUAUCAUAAUUUUCUGUCUCGUUGUCAUGGCCUUUAAUUGAUCAAGUCUUACUUGAUAUUCCACUAUUGCGGUCAACUUACACAUAUAUAUAUUUUUUAUUUCUCAUCAUUUAAAAGAUAAAAGGGUUCACCCACGAUGAAAAGUUGCAUAUGAACUAUAAUUUUUUGGUCAUGUGACUGGAUUAAUGGAACAACAAUACAAUACGUACAUACAACAUCAAAACACAUAUGAAUUAUAAGCCAAACUGUAAAAAAAUAUUUUCUUAUCAUUCAUUAGUUACGAUUUCCUUACUGAUAAGUGAUAACUGAGAAGGGAUAUCCCCUAACGAGUUGUAAAUACGAAUAAAAUAAUGUCUAUCCAAUUAAUUAAUUAAAGUUGGUAAAAGAUUUUGAAUAAGUGACAGAAAGUGUGAGGUGGUGGGGAAAAUGUCAAGGGAUCCACUAGAUUUUGGGGAUUUGCAAAAUAUUAUAUGUUAUACUUG